UAGCUUGGUUGGUAGAGCGUCUGCCUUGUAAGCGCUAGGUCGCGGGUUCCAUUCCCGC
rnacentral:tRNA from 1 species